rnacentral:tRNA from 1 species
UCCCUGAUGUCUCAGAUGGUAAAGAACCUGCCUGCAGUGUAGGAGACCCAGGUUUGAUCCCUGGGUUGGGAA